rnacentral:rRNA from 1 species
GGGAAGGAGCAACAGGGAUUGCCCUAGUAACGGCGAGUGAAGCGGCAACAGCUCAAAUUUGAAAUCUGGCCCUAGCGGUCCGAGUUGUAAUUUGUAGAGGAUGCUUUUGGUGAGGUGCCUUCCGAGUUCCCUGGAACGGGACGCCGGAGAGGGUGAGAGCCCCGUACGGUUGGACGCCAAACCUCUGUAUAGCUCCUUCGACGAGUCGAGUAGUUUGGGAAUGCUGCUCUAAAUGGGAGGUAAAUUUCUUCUAAAGCUAAAUACCGGCCAGAGACCGAUAGCGCACAAGUAGAGUGAUCGAAAGAUGAAAAGCACUUUGAAAAGAGGGUUAAAUAGCACGUGAAAUUGUUGAAAGGGAAGCGUUUGCGACCAGACUUUUUCCAGGCGGAUCAUCCGGCGUUCUCGCCGGUGCACUCCGCCUGGUUGAGGCCAGCAUCGGUUUCCUUAGGGGGAUAAAGGCCUGGGGAACGUAGCUCCUUCGGGAGUGUUAUAGCCCCUGGCGUAAUACCCCUCGGGGGACCGAGGAACGCGCUCUGCAAGGAUGCUGGCGUAAUGGUCGUCAACGACCCGUCUUGAAACACGGACCAAGGAGUCGAACAUUUGUGCGAGUGUUUGGGUGUCAAACCCUCACGCGUAAUGAAAGUGAACGGAGGUGAGAGCCCUUACGGGUGCAUCAUCGACCGAUCCUGAUGUCUUCGGAUGGAUUUGAGUAAGAGCAUAACUGUUCGGACCCGAAAGAUGGUGAACUAUGCGUGGAUAGGGUGAAGCCAGAGGAAACUCUGGUGGAGGCUCGCAGCGGUUCUGACGUGCAAAUCGAUCGUCAAAUCUGCGCAUNGGGGGCGAAAGACUUAUCGAACCAUCUAGUAGCUGGUUACCGCCGAAGUUUCCCUCAGGAUAGCAGUGUUGUCUUCAGUUUUAUGAGGUAAAGCGAAUGAUUAGGGACUCGGGGGCGCUAUAUUGCCUUCAUCCAUUCUCAAACUUUAAAUAUGUAAGAAGCCCUUGUUACUUAGUUGAACGUGGGCAUUCGAAUGUACCAACACUAGUGGGCCAUUUUUGGUAAGCAGAACUGGCGAUGCGGGAUGAACCGAACGCGGGGUUAAGGUGCCAGAGUGGACGCUCAUCAGACACCACAAAAGGUGUUAGUACAUCUUGACAGCAGGACGGUGGCCAUGGAAGUCGGAAUCCGCUAAGGACUGUGUAACAACUCACCUGCCGAAUGUACUAGCCCUGAAAAUGGAUGGCGCUCAAGCGUCUCACCCAUACCUCGCCCUUAGGGUAGAAACGAUGCCCUAAGGAGUAGGCGGCCGUGGAGGUUAGUGACGAAGCCUAGGGCGGAGCCCGGGUGUAAC